rnacentral:tRNA from 1 species
UUCUAAAAUAGCUUAAAAGGUAAAGCUUUGAUUUUGUAAGUCAAAAAUGAGAUUAUUACUCUUUUAGAA